UCCAGUAGUGUCGUGAACCAAA
rnacentral:miRNA from 1 species